rnacentral:lncRNA from 1 species
UUGUAACUCAUGAGUUAUAAAGUGGGGGUUAUGGUUCCCACAUUAUUGCAAGACAUAAUCUCUUCUUCCUCCCAUUGAAUCAAGAGAAAAACUCCAUUGCUGUCUUGCAAAUUCUUGUGGAAAGCCAUACACCAAUUUGGUUAUUGUCAUAUUAUUGUUGUUGUGAAACCAUUCACAUAUUUUAGUCUUGUGAGGAUUUCUUGUGGAAACAUCAACUUCAAGACAAUCUUGAAGGAAGGAUCAAGGAG